GACGAACGCUGGCGGCGUGCUUAACACAUGCAAGUCGAACGGAAAGGCCCUGCUUUUGUGGGGUGCUCGAGUGGCGAACGGGUGAGUAACACGUGAGUAACCUGCCCUUGACUUUGGGAUAACUUCAGGAAACUGGGGCUAAUACCGGAUAGGAGCUCCUGCUGCAUGGUGGGGGUUGGAAAGUUUCGGCGGUUGGGGAUGGACUCGCGGCUUAUCAGCUUGUUGGUGGGGUAGUGGCUUACCAAGGCUUUGACGGGUAGCCGGCCUGAGAGGGUGACCGGCCACAUUGGGACUGAGAUACGGCCCAGACUGCUACGGGAGGCAGCAGUGGGGAAUAUUGCACAAUGGGCGGAAGUCUGAUGCAGCAACGCCGCGUGCGGGAUGACGGCCUUCGGGUUGUAAACCGCUUUCGCCUGUGACGAAGCGUGAGUGACGGUAAUGGGUAAAGAAGCACCGGCUAACUACGUG
rnacentral:rRNA from 1 species